CCAAGAUUGACUCUAAUUCUUCACAUAAACCAUGUUCUCUUUCCCAAAAAUCUUGGUUUCGCUAGGAGUGCAGUAAAGGGAAUGUUGGAAGAAGUGUAGAUAUCAUGGCCACAGGCCAGUGGGUAAUAGCUAGAACCUUGAAGCCUGGCAAGGAUUAUGAGACUGGAAAGUCCCAUUGAGACUAACAAAUGAAGAGAAAGUUUCAGACUGUUUAACUCGGACUAAGGGAAAAGAAGCAAAUUACAACAAGGAGAAUAUUGCCGAGAAAGGUAAGCUGUUCAAAUAAUGUUAAUGUAUGAUUUUAAUGUUCUGUUCACACGGAGAGUUUAAUUCACAGUAUUUUAAUGCCAAGUAAAUUGACUUCAUACGACAGCUGUGGUAAAGUGGUUAACUAUUGCGAAUUAAAAUUUUAUUUUCUACAAAAAGGCUAUUCAGUAAGAUUAAUAUGACAUCAUUUGUAAAUC